rnacentral:lncRNA from 1 species
GACCACCGACCGCGACACGACUUUCGGCAUAGCUCCGGCAGAGCAGCCAGAAAACUCCCAGAAAAUGAAGAGUCGCGCCGAGAUGGCGUCACAGACACUCCGGCAUGAGUCGCCUUAGACCUGUACUGAGGACUUACAAAGAACAGCUAAUAUGUGGAGUGCAGAGGCAAAUCAAACAGGGGUGCUAACCUUCACCAUACUUACUGUCUAGCGAUAAAGAAAGAAGUACAUCUUCAAAAAACACCCUGAGAAGGGUGUGCUCUUAGAGUGUGGCCAUCCGCAAUUGAAGGCAAACUCUUCUGUGUGCAGAGAAGAGGAGGAGGCACAAAGUGUGUGGAGUAGAGCUUGAGAUGAAGUCCCUAAUCAUUUGGAGAGUCCCAUGCAGAGGAAAGCACUGGCAGAUGUUCAGAUGAUCUUUAAUUGAAGUACUUUUCUCUUGUUGCUUCUUAACUAGCAUUCCACCCCACCACAGCUGAUGUCAUCUGUGACAUCAUGAAGAUGGCAACCAUCUACACUGCAGUACUCUGAUAGUGCAGUACCCGCAUGCUCUUUAAUAGUUCCACAAAAGGUCUCUGCUUAAAGACUAGUGCCAGGACUGUUAGGAUGGAAAUAAAACGUGAUAUUCC